UUAAGUUAGAAAGGGCGCACGGUGAAUGCCUUGGCACUAGGAGCCGAUGAAGGACGGGACUAACACCGAUAUGCUUCGGGGAGCUGUAAGUGAGCUUUGAUCCGGAGAUUUCCGAAUGGGGAAACCCACUGUUCGUAAUGGAACAGUAUCUUUAUCUGAAUACAUAGGAUAUUGAAGGCAGACCCGGGGAACUGAAACAUCUAAGUACCCGGAGGAAGAGAAAGCAAAUGCGAUUUCCUGAGUAGCGGCGAGCGAAACGGAAUUAGCCCAAACCAAGAGGCUUGCCUCUUGGGGUUGUAGGACACUCUAUACGGAGUUACAAAGGAACGAAGUAAAUGAAGCGACCUGGAAAGGUCCGUCAAAGAAGGUAACAACCCUGUAGUUGAAACUUCGUUCCCUCUUGAGUGGAUCCUGAGUACGGCGGAACACGUGAAAUUCCGUCGGAAGCUGGGAGGACCAUCUCCCAAGGCUAAAUACUACCUAGUGACCGAUAGUGAACCAGUACCGUGAGGGAAAGGUGAAAAGCACCCCGGAAGGGGAGUGAAAGAGAUCCUGAAACCGUGUGCCUACAAGUAGUCAGAGCCCGUUAAUGGGUGAUGGCGUGCCUUUUGUAGAAUGAACCGGCGAGUUACGAUCCCAUGCAAGGUUAAGCUGAUAAGGCGGAGCCGUAGCGAAAGCGAGUCUGAAUAGGGCGUUUAGUAUGUGGUUGUAGACCCGAAACCAGGUGAUCUACCCAUGUCCAGGGUGAAGUUCAGGUAACACUGAAUGGAGGCCCGAACCCACGCACGUUGAAAAGUGCGGGGAUGAGGUGUGGGUAGCGGAGAAAUUCCAAUCGAACCUGGAGAUAGCUGGUUCUCUCCGAAAUAGCUUUAGGGCUAGCCUCAUGUUGUGAGAGUCUUGGAGGUAGAGCACUGAUUGGACUAGGGGCCCCCAACGGGUUACCGAAUUCAGUCAAACUCCGAAUGCCAAAGACUUAUCCAUGGGAGUCAGACUGCGAGUGAUAAGAUCCGUAGUCAAAAGGGAAACAGCCCAGACCACCAGCUAAGGUCCCCAAGUAUACGUUAAGUGGAAAAGGAUGUGGAGUUGCUUAGACAACCAGGAUGUUGGCUUAGAAGCAGCCACCAUUUAAAGAGUGCGUAAUAGCUCACUGGUCGAGUGACUCUGCGCCGAAAAUGUACCGGGGCUAAACGUAUCACCGAAGCUGUGGAUUGACAUCUUUGAUGUCAGUGGUAGGAGAGCGUUCUAAGUGCUGUGAAGUCAGACCGUAAGGACUGGUGGAGCGCUUAGAAGUGAGAAUGCCGGUAUGAGUAGCGAAAGACAAGUGAGAAUCUUGUCCACCGAAUGCCUAAGGUUUCCUGAGGAAGGCUCGUCCGCUCAGGGUUAGUCGGGACCUAAGCCGAGGCUGAAAAGCGUAGGCGAUGGCCAACAGGUUGAUAUUCCUGUACCACCUCCCCGCCGUUUGAGUAAUGGGGGGACGCAGUAGGAUAGGGUAAGCGCGCUGCUGGAUAUGCGCGUUCAAGCAGUUAGGCUGAUGAGUAGGCAAAUCCGCUCAUCAUAAAGGCUGAGCUGUGAUGACGAGGGAAUUAUAGUACCGAAGUUCCUGAUUCCACACUGCCAAGAAAAGCCUCUAGCGAGGCGGGAGGUGCCCGUACCGCAAACCGACACAGGUAGGCGAGGAGAGAAUCCUAAGGUGAUCGAGAGAACUCUCGUUAAGGAACUCGGCAAAAUGACCCCGUAACUUCGGGAGAAGGGGUGCUCUGGUAGGGUGUAUAGCCCGAGAGAGCCGCAGUGAAUAGGCCCAGGCGACUGUUUAGCAAAAACACAGGUCUCUGCGAAGCCGCAAGGCGAAGUAUAGGGGCUGACGCCUGCCCGGUGCUGGAAGGUUAAGAGGAGGGGUUAUCCUUUGGGAGAAGCUCUGAAUCGAAGCCCCAGUAAACGGCGGCCGUAACUAUAACGGUCCUAAGGUAGCGAAAUUCCUUGUCGGGUAAGUUCCGACCCGCACGAAAGGCGUAACGAUCUGGGCACUGUCUCAACGAGAGACUCGGUGAAAUUAUAGUACCUGUGAAGAUGCAGGUUACCCGCGACAGGACGGAAAGACCCCGUGGAGCUUUACUGUAGCCUGAUAUUGAAUUUUGGUACAGCUUGUACAGGAUAGGUAGGAGCCUAAGAAGCCGGAGCGCUAGCUUCGGUGGAGGCGUCGGUGGGAUACUACCCUGGCUGUAUUGAAAUUCUAACCCGCGGCCCUGAUCGGGCCGGGAGACAGUGUCAGGUGGGCAGUUUGACUGGGGCGGUCGCCUCCUAAAAUGUAACGGAGGCGCCCAAAGGUUCCCUCAGAAUGGUUGGAAAUCAUUCGUAGAGUGUAAAGGCACAAGGGAGCUUGACUGCGAGACCUACAAGUCGAGCAGGGACGAAAGUCGGGCUUAGUGAUCCGGUGGUUCCGCAUGGAAGGGCCAUCGCUCAACGGAUAAAAGCUACCCCGGGGAUAACAGGCUUAUCUCCCCCAAGAGUCCACAUCGACGGGGAGGUUUGGCACCUCGAUGUCGGCUCAUCGCAUCCUGGGGCUGUAGUCGGUCCCAAGGGUUGGGCUGUUCGCCCAUUAAAGCGGUACGCGAGCUGGGUUCAGAACGUCGUGAGACAGUUCGGUCCCUAUCCGUCGUGGGCGUAGGAAAUUUGAGAGGAGCUGUCCUUAGUACGAGAGGACCGGGAUGGACACACCGCUGGUGUACCAGUUGUCUUGCCAAAGGCAUCGCUGGGUAGCUAUGUGUGGACGGGAUAAGUGCUGAAAGCAUCUAAGCAUGAAGCCCCCCUCAAGAUGAGAUUUCCCAUAGCGCAAGCUAGUAAGAUCCCUGAAAGAUGAUCAGGUUGAUAGGUCAGAGGUGGAAGCGUGGCGACAUGUGUAGCUGACUGAUACUAAUCGAUCGAGGACUUAACC
rnacentral:rRNA from 1 species